GCCCGCUUCGAACAAAGCCGAAGCUAGAUUUUAGCUGGACAACCGAGAGGAUUGGGGUGACAGAGAGGUUGGAGUUCCGCAGUGGCGCCUCCAAGGAGGAGAACAACGUUCGAAGACGCCGCCGCUGCCGACACCAACCGAGGUUAGCACUAGGUUUUCACCCGGAACAUGCAAACUAGGGAACACGAGAUGCACCCGCAUCCAAAACAUGCCAGCCUAAGCUGGGCAGUCCCCACGUCCAAGCCGAACCACCGCCAAGUCAAAGAACACGGCCGACGUGUGCCUCCCCGUCAUAGCAGCCAGCCGUAGGACGACCCCUCACAUCGUUGAGCUGUUGCCCGCACCCCGACGCCAUAUUGUGCACGCCGGGGCCACCACGAGCGACGCCGCCGCACCACCGUCCUCAAUGAGUGGCUCGCCACC
rnacentral:lncRNA from 1 species